rnacentral:ncRNA from 1 species
UUCUAAACGUCGCCGGACGUAGUAAUUAUUGACUCUUUUAGGCCUUAGUAAGAGUUGAUAGUUACUUUUUUUUUA